GACGAACGCUGGCGGCGUGCUUAACACAUGCAAGUCGAACGGAAAGGCCCUGCUUUUGUGGGGUGCUCGAGUGGCGAACGGGUGAGUAACACGUGAGUAACCUGCCCUUGACUUUGGGAUAACUUCAGGAAACUGGGGCUAAUACCGGAUAGGAGCUCCUGCUGCAUGGUGGGGGUUGGAAAGUUUCGGCGGUUGGGGAUGGACUCGCGGCUUAUCAGCUUGUUGGUGGGGUAGUGGCUUACCAAGGCUUUGACGGGUAGCCGGCCUGAGAGGGUGACCGGCCACAUUGGGACUGAGAUACGGCCCAGACUCCUACGGGAGGCAGCAGUGGGGGAUAUUGCACAAUGGGCGGAGGCCUGAUGCAGCAACGCCGCGUGCGGGAUGACGGCCUUCGGGUUGUAAACCGCUUUCGCCUGUGACGAAGCGUGAGUGACGGUAAUGGGUAAAGAAGCACCGGCUAACUACGUG
rnacentral:rRNA from 1 species